AUUGAACGCUGGCGGCAGGCCUAACACAUGCAAGUCGAGCGAGCGGCGGACGGGUGAGUAUUGUCUGGGAAACUGCCUGAUGGAGGGGGAUAACUACUGGAAACGGUAGCUAAUACCGCAUACCAUCAGACGUCCCCAGAUGGGAUUCGCUAGGAGGUGGGGCAACGUCUCACCUAGGCGACGAUCCCCAGCUGGUCUGAGAGGAUGACCAGCCACACUGGAACUGAGACAGGGUCCAGAAUCCUACGGGAGGCAGCAGUGGGUAAUAUUACACAAUGGGCGCAAGCCUGGUGCAGCCAUGCCGCGUAUGUGAAGAAGGCCUUCGGGUUGUAAAGCACUUUCAGCGGGGAGGCGUUACCCGCAGAAGAAGCACCGGCUAACUCCGUGCCAGCAGGCGCGGUAAUAC
rnacentral:rRNA from 1 species